rnacentral:snRNA from 1 species
AGCUUUGCGCAGUGGCAGUAUUGCAGCCAGUGAGGUUUAUCCAAGGUGCGAUUAUUGCUAAUUAAAUCUUUUCCCAAAAGAUGAUACACAAGAGCACCGUGUGUUGGAGCAUGUCUGUGAUCCCAGCACCUGGG